CCUACGGGAGGCAGCAGUGGGGGAUAUUGCACAAUGGGGGGAACCCUGAUGCAGCGACGCCGCGUGGGUGAAGGAGCGUUUCGGCGCGUAAAGCCCUAUCGGCAGGGAAGAAGGAGGACGGUACCUGACUAAGAAGCCCCGGCUAACUACGUGCCAGCAGCCGCGGUAAUACGUAGGGGGCAAGCGUUAUCCGGAUUUACUGGGUGUAAAGGGGGCGCAGACGGCAGCGCAAGCCAGGAGUGAAAGCCCGGAGCCCAACCCCGGGACUGCUCUUGGAACUGCGCGGCUGGAGUGCAGGAGGGGCAGGCGGAAUUCCUGGUGUAGCGGUGGAAUGCGUAGAUAUCAGGAGGAACACCGGUGGCGAAGGCGGCCUGCUGGACUGCGACUGACGUUGAGGCCCGAAAGCGUGGGGAGCAAACAGGAUUAGAUACCCUUGUAGUC
rnacentral:rRNA from 1 species